GAUGAACGCUGGCGGCGUGCCUAAUACAUGCAAGUCGAGCGAACAGACGAGGAGCUUGCUCCUCUGACGUUAGCGGCGGACGGGUGAGUAACACGUGGAUAACCUACCUAUAAGACUGGGAUAACUUCGGGAAACCGGAGCUAAUACCGGAUAAUAUAUUGAACCGCAUGGUUCAAUAGUGAAAGACGGUUUUGCUGUCACUUAUAGAUGGAUCCGCGCCGCAUUAGCUAGUUGGUAAGGUAACGGCUUACCAAGGCAACGAUGCGUAGCCGACCUGAGAGGGUGAUCGGCCACACUGGAACUGAGACACGGUCCAGACUCCUACGGGAGGCAGCAGUAGGGAAUCUGCCGCAAUGGGGGAAAGCCUGACGGAGCAACGCCGCGUGAGUGAUGAAGGUCUUCGGAUCGUAAAACUCUGUUAUUAGGGAAGAACAAAUGUGUAAGUAACUAUGCACGUCUUGACGGUACCUAAUCAGAAAGCCACGGCUAACUACGUG
rnacentral:rRNA from 1 species